rnacentral:lncRNA from 1 species
GAUCAAGACCCAGAAUCACUGACCCUGGAGGAUGUGGCUGUUGAAUUCAGCCGGGAGGAGUGGCAGCUCCUGGAACACUGCUCAGAAGGACCUGUACCAGGAUGUGAUGGUGGAGAACUCUAACCACCUGGUAUCACUGGGGUAUCAAACUAGCAAACCAGAUGCACUCUCCAAGUUGGCGCAUGGAUGGGAACCAUUGAAAACAGAUGCUAAAGUCCAGAAUAAAAAUUGUCCAGGAAUCAGGAAAGUUGACAGUCAUCUGCAAGAGCACUCUCCAAACCAGUGAUUUCUGAAGAGCAUGCAGCAAUGCAGUGGACAGAAUGCAUUUAGAAAUAUUGUACAUCUCAGCAAGACACAUUUUUCUCUAGUGCAAAAUCAUAAUACAUUUGACUUGUACAGAAAAACAUUGAAAUCAAUUUUAAGUUUAAUCAACCAGAAGAGAAGACAUGGAAUAAAUAACCUUGUGGAGUUUAUUGGAGGUGAGAAAACCCUUCUACAUGAUAAGCAUGAACAUACGAAUACUAAAACUAGAUUUUCUGAAAAUGCAAAUGGAUCCAUACUAAAUUCCAAGUCUUUAAGCAUCAGAGGACUCAGAAAAUUGAGAAACUCCAUGCAUUCAUUGAAUGUGAGCAAACCUUCCUCUGAAGUCUCAGCUCAUUUACCACGAGAACAUUCACAUAGAAGAGAAUCCUGGAGGUGGUCAAUGUGAGAAAUUGUCCAGAAGUGUCCUGUUCACUAAGCAUCUGAAAACUAAUAUAGGGGACAAAAUCUGUAUACCCAAUCAAUAUAGAACAGGCUCUACUGUGAAGAGUAUUCUCAUUGCACAUCAACAAACUUAUACAGAAGAGAAAUCCUAUAUGUACUGUGAGUGUGGAAAGGGCUUUACAAUGAAGCGCUAUCUAAUUGCUCAUCAGCGAACUUGUAGUGGAGAGAAACCUUAUGUGUGCAAUGAAUGUGGAAAAGGUUUCACUGUGAAGAUCAAUCUCAUUGUACAUCAGUGAAUUCAUACAGGGGGAGAAACCCUAUAUAUUCAGUGAAUGUAGAAAAGGCUUCACCCAGAAGCGCUACCUUGUUGUACAUCAGCAAACUCAUACUGGAGAGAGACCCCAUAUAUGCAGUGAAUGUGGAAAAGGCUUUACUGUGAAGAGCAAUCUCAUUGUACAUCAGUGCUCCCGUACAGGAGAAAAAUCUUAUAUAUGCAGCUAAUGUGGAAAAGCCUUCACUGUCAAACGCACUCGCAUUAUACAUCAGUGAACUCAUACAGGAGAGAAAUCUUACAUAUGCAAUUAAUGUGGUAAAGGUUUCACCACAAAGUGCACUCUUAUUAUACAUCACCGAACUCACACAGGAGAAAAACCUUAUGAAUGCAAUGACGUGGUAAAGCCUUCAGCCAGAAAAUAUGGCUCAUACAAUGUGAGAGAUGUCAUACAGGAAAGAAUCCCUUUGUAUGUACUGAGUGUGGAAAAUCCUAUUCACACAAAUAUAGUCUCAUUACCCAUCAGAGAAUUCACACAGGAGAGAAACCUUAUGAGUGCAAUGAAUGUGGAAAAGCCUUCACCACAAAGUCAGUACUCAAUGUACAUCAAAGAACGCAUACAGGAGAGAGGCCCUAUGGAUGCAGUGAUUGUGAGAAAGGCUUCUUCCACUCAUCAAACCUUGUCAAAUAUAAGAAGAUGCACACAAGAGAAAGGGGUAGAAUCAGUCAAGUUGAAAAUUCCUGUAAUGGAGAGUCACAGCUCCUUCCUUACAAGUGA